rnacentral:rRNA from 1 species
AGUGAACGCUGGCGGCAGGCCUAACACAUGCAAGUCGAGCGGCAGCGCGGGGCAACCUGGCGGCGAGCGGCGGACGGGUGAGGAAUGCAUCGGAAUCUACCUAGUUGUGGGGGAUAACGUAGGGAAACUUACGCUAAUACCGCAUACGACCUACGGGUGAAAGUGGGGGACCGCAAGGCCUCACGCGAUUAGAUGAGCCGAUGCCCGAUUAGCUAGUUGGCGGGGUAAAAGCCCACCAAGGCGACGAUCGGUAGCUGGUCUGAGAGGAUGAUCAGGCACACGGGAACUGCGACGCGGUCCAGACUACUACGGGAGGCAGCAGUGGGGAAUAUUGGACAAUGGGGGCAACCCUGAUCCAGCCAUGCCGCGUGUGUGAAGAAGGCCUUCGGGUUGUAAAGCACUUUUGUUCGGGAAGAAAAGCCGCCGGUGAAUAUCCGGUGGUGCUGACGGUACCGAAAGAAUAAGCACCGGCUAACUUCGUGCCAGCAGCCGCAGUAAGAC